rnacentral:tRNA from 2 species
GCCGGAGUGGUGGAAUUGGUAGACACAAGGGACUUAAAAUCCCUCGGAAUUAACCCUCUGUACCGGUUCAAGUCCGGUCUCCGGCA